UACGAAGGGUGCAAACGUUGCUUGGAAUCAUUGGGCGUAAAGCGCACGUAGGCGGCCUUGCAAGUCGGAUGUGAAAUCCCACGGCUCAACCGUGGACGUGCAUCCGAAACUGCUCGGCUCGAGUAUGGAAGAGGGUCGCGGAAUUCCCGGUGUAGAGGUGAAAUUCGUAGAUAUCGGGAGGAACACCAGUGGCGAAGGCGGCGACCUGGGCCAAUACUGACGCUGAGGUGCGAAAGCGUGGGGAGCAAACAGG
rnacentral:rRNA from 1 species